rnacentral:lncRNA from 1 species
AUGGAUGGAUGGAUGGAUGGAUGGAUGGAUGGAUGGAUGGAUGGAUGGAUGGAUGGAUGGAUGGAUGGAUGGAUGGAUGGAUGGAUGGAUGGAUGGAUGGAUGGAUGGAUGGAUGGAUGGAUGGAUGAUGGAUUGAUGAUGGAUGGAUGGAUGGAUGGAUGGAUGGAUGGAUGGAUAUUCCAGCUGGCAGCAUCCCAGUCAGGGAUGCAAAUCUGGGCUUUAUCCAGAUUCCAGCUGUUGGGAAUAGCUGGAUACAGCAGUUUUGUGCAUGGAGAUCUGCUGACAUCUACAGGGCACUCCAGAGAUUCCAUGGCUCCGUGGAAUCAGGGAAUCCCAGAGCAAUUUGGCUUGCAAGGGAACUUAAGGAUCAUCCCAUCCAUCCCACUUCCAUGGGCCGGGACAUCUUCCACUACCCCAGGGUGCUCCAAGCCCCAGGGUCCAACCUGGCCUUGGACACUUCCAGGGAUCCAGAGGCAGCCACAGCAUUCCCUGAUGGAAUCUUCCCACUGCUUUUCCAGAAAUAUUUUGCCCCAGGACAAGGGUGAGGGGCACUUGGAUGUCUCCCAUCCAAGGAAAAAUAGGGAAAACCACCUGUCCAGAUGGUUGGGCUCCCAGCCCAGGUGUUUUCCCACCAGAGAAUCCAGAGGGAAUCCCCAGGCAUAUCCCAACAUGAGCCUGGCCAACCCCACACAUCUGGGAAUGGCCCCACCAAGGGGAGAGGAGGAGCAGGAACGGCUGCAAACACCAGGAACAGGAGAGCCAAGGAGAAGGAAGGAAGCUGGGAAUGGAGGAGAAAUCCAGGGAUUUUCCAGCUGCUCUUUGCUCCCUGGCAUCCCCUGGAAGCAGGAAUGGGACUCCUGCAGAUGGAAAAUCCUCAUGGAGGAGCAGAUCCUGGCACAGGGACAAGGAUCCAUCACCCUGGGAAUGAUCCACCAGGGAAAAAGCAGCAGGAUGUGGGAAUUACCAGAACAGCUUUUAUCAGCGUGGCAGAUCCCACCUGCUCCCCUUUUCCAGAGGCACAGGAUUAGGAUCACCCCAGGAAUCAGGAUCACACAACAACCUGGAUCAGCCCACCCCAGGAACUGUGUAAUCAAGAAGCCUACAGUAUAA